CCUACGGGAGGCUGCAGUGAGGAAUAUUGGUCAAUGGACGAGAGUCUGAACCAGCCAAGUAGCGUGAAGGAUGACUGCCCUAUGGGUUGUAAACUUCUCUUAUAUGGGAAUAAAAUGUUCCACGUGUGGGAGUUUGUAUGUACCAUAUGAAUAAGGAUCGGCUAACUCCGUGCCAGCAGCCGCGGUAAUACGGAGGGUCCGAGCGUUAUCCGGAUUUAUUGGGUUUAAAGGGAGCGUAGGUGGAUUGUUAAGUCAGUUGUGAAAGUUUGCGGCUCAACCGUAAAAUUGCAGUUGAAACUGGCAGUCUUGAGUACAGUAGAGGUGGGCGGAAUGCGUGGUGUAGCGGUGAAAUGCUUAGAUAUCACGAAGAACUCCGAUUGCGAAGGCAGCUCACUGGACUGCAACUGACACUGAGGCUCGAAAGUGUGGGUAUCAAACAGGAUUAGAUACCCCAGUAGUC
rnacentral:rRNA from 1 species